rnacentral:rRNA from 1 species
AAGUCGACGAGAAAGGGAGUGCUUGCAUUCCCGAGUAGAGUGGCGCACGGGUGAGUAACACGUGGAUAAUCUACCUUUGAAUCCGGGAUAACUGUUCGAAAGAAUCGCUAAUACCGAAUGAAGUCAAUGUUUCCUAGGAGAUAUUGAUGAUAGACAGCCUCUUCUUGAAAGCUGUUGUUUGAAGAUGAGUCCGCGCACCAUUAGCUUGUUGGUGGGGUAAAGGCCUACCAAGGCUCUGAUGGUUAGCUGGUCUGAGAGGAUGAUCAGCCACACUGGAACUGACACACGGUCCAGACUCCUACGGGAGGCAGCAGUGAGGAAUUUUGCGCAAUGGGGGCAACCCUGACGCAGCAACGCCGCGUGAGUGAAGAAGGCCCUUGGGUCGUAAAACUCUGUCGAUGGGGAAGAAGUUAUUAUACUUUAAUAGAGUAUAGUAUUGACGGUACCCAUGAAGGAAGCACCGGCUAACUCCGUGCCAGCAGCCGCGGUAAUACGGGGGGUGCAAGCGUUAUUCGGAAUUAUUGGGCGUAAAGGGCACGCAGGCGGUCCUACAGGUCAGAUGUGAAAGCCCCGG